AUUGAACGCUGGCGGCAGGCUUAACACAUGCAAGUCGAGCGGGGGAAGGUAGCUUGCUACCGGACCUAGCGGCGGACGGGUGAGUAAUGCUUAGGAAUCUGCCUAUUAGUGGGGGACAACAUCUCGAAAGGGAUGCUAAUACCGCAUACGUCCUACGGGAGAAAGCAGGGGAUCUUCGGACCUUGCGCUAAUAGAUGAGCCUAAGUCGGAUUAGCUAGUUGGUGGGGUAAAGGCCUACCAAGGCGACGAUCUGUAGCGGGUCUGACAGGAUGAUCCGCCGAAUGGAGAUUGAGACACGGCCCAGAAUCCUACGCGAGGCAGCAGUGGGGAAUAUUGGACAAUGGGGGGAACCCUGAUCCAGCCAUGCCGCGUGUGUGAAGAAGGCCUUAUGGUUGUCAUGCACUUUAAGCGAGGAGGAGGCUACUCUAGUUAAUACCUAGGGAUAGUGGACGUUACUCGCAGAAUAAGCACCGGCUAACUCUGUGCCAGCCGCCGCGGUAA
rnacentral:rRNA from 1 species